rnacentral:tRNA from 10 species
AAGAGCUCUUACCCAGAAGAACAAUCUUUAGCCCUCAAGGUCACUGAAACUUCAUUAGAGCAGUUUAGAGUAGACGUGUAAGAUUUGGCAUAUAUUAAAUGAUUAUUGGCACAAUGUUCUCCAGUUCCAUGUAUAAAUGUUGAUAUGCACAUCGGGGAGGUGCUGCUUUGGCUCUUACUGCUGCCACCACUGCCACUGCUACUGCUGAGGCCCCGGUUGUUGUUGGCUUUGUCACUUGUUUUAUUCUCUGCCCCUUCUGCCCUGUCUCCUAUAGAAAUACAAGGAUUAUCAAAAGUGAGUAUUGACAAUUCUGCCCUGUCUCCUAUAGAAAUACAAAGAUUAUCAAAAGUGAGUAUUGACAAUUCUAAGUCACUUGAGCUCAAACCAGUCAGCUAACUCAGCCCUGUAGAAGUCCCACUGUUACCUACCGUGCCUAUCAGAGAGGUUCUCAGUACAUAAUCAUUUACUGCUUUUAUUCCUUGUGAUGUUUUAUAUAUUCCUUAGCUAUAGAGAUGAAAUUUGCCAUAUUCACUUUAUUGCUGAGAAACAAACCUCUCUACUAUGUGCUUGCCAAGGAGACUGUUCUGAUGUGAGACAUAGGACCUAAGCUCUACUUUAUAGAAGCUGAGUGGAGCCAGGAGCCCCCCCAGAACAGCACUUGGAAACAACCUCAGUGAUCAAUACUGACAGCACAACCACAGAGACCUGGUAAUGCAGCAUGGGGGCCCUGAGACCUGGCAGAGGUAUGGAAUGGCACAACAGUCAGGCUACAGAGGCAGUGUGGCAUCUGGGACGGGGUGAGAAGGCUGCUACUCACCUCGUUCUACUUCACAUUCAGGGGAGGAGGCCCCGCUGCAUUCACUUCGAGGGCCCAACACUGGGAACAUCAUCCCAAACUCUGACAGGGACACAGGGCUGGGCAGAUCCAGGCUGCCAGGCCUCACAACCGCAGGGAACUGGUCAGGCAUCUCAGACGGGCUUGUUGGUCCUGAACUAAAGCUGGACACGGACUGGGUUUCCGAGUCAUCUUCAGACACAAAGUUGCUACAGCUGUCAUCUUCAAAGGCCUCCGAGGCCACUAAGUUGAGAGAGAACACCAGUCACAUGGGUUCUGUCACCUCCUCAAACACCACAAGUGCUUGCUGCUGGCAGGCAGCUAGACACAGCAUGGGGGACUAAAGAGUCUCUACCUCUGUGAGUGCCUAAUGAAGGAAUGUGACUUCCCAAGCCUGAAUGACCAGCCUCUAAAGCAGCUGGAAGGGAAGCAGCUGGCAGCAGGAUCCCAUGGAUAUUAAGCGCCCUUCCAAUAACCUUAUAACCCUGCCAAGAAAUCAGUGUCACCAGACACCACCUAAAAAUGGAAGAUUAAUUCAGCCACAAAUUAGGACCUUUACUCCACCUCAGUCCCCCAAAUACAUCCUCAUGUGCACAGGAAGAGGUUCUAGUCCUCUGUAACAUAUCCCAAACAAAGCCAGCUGGACUCAGGCUUCUUUCUUAGGGCAAUAGAAGCAAGAGCUGCUAGAAGAAACAGGCCAGCAUGGAACAUCUGUUGGGACCUUUGUUAUCUCCAGGUAACUUCUGAUCUCAUAAAGAACACACUCAAAGGCUACCCACAUCACCAUUUGCUGCAAAAGAACAGAAAUCCUUUACAAUGCUCUGUAGCCACAUUAUUUGGUAGACCAAAGUAACAAGGCCCAGACACAUGUUAUUCCCAUGGUUUCAAAGCCUCUUUGGCCUUUAGCGGUUUUCCCUCAGCCUGCCCACAAUCCCACUCCUUAUUAGAACUUUCCUACUCCAUUUUUCCCCCCCUUUCUCUUUAAAAACAGCCUUGUAGCAUUCCAUAAAGGUUUCUUAUAAAUGAUAAAUACUGUAAUGUUGGGGACAGAAAAUGGGCUCAGACCUGAAUUGAAUCCCUAACUCCACUACUUGCUGUGUGACCUUGGUCAAGUUACUUUACCUCUGUAAGCUUCAUGAUCCUCUCCAUGCAGGGUUUGAGAUGAUGUAUAUAUUAAAGUACCUCAUACAUAGUAGUUGUUCAAAUGAUAGUUUCCUUUUCCUUUACCUUGAACCUAGUACUUAAAUAUUUGUUGAAGGAAUUAACUCCUGAGGAAGGAGCUUGGGAAAGAGCCGACAGGGAUUAUUGCACAGGUAAGGAAAAGAAAGGAAGUAUGCAAAGACAGCGUUGGGUGGGUUUUCUUGAUGAGCAUGACAGAAACCAAGUCAAACUUCUAUCAGUUUUCCAGGGGGAGGCCCUGGGAAAAGAGGUCUCUAUGGUCAGAUGUCAGUAAGAGCCACCAUUUGCUGAGUGCUUCUUGGGUGUCAGGGGUUGAUUCAUGUAAGCUGAACCACCACCCUACACAACGGAUAGUAUACAGUAGAUAGCGUCAUACUCCCCAUUUUACAGGUGAAGAAACUGAAAUACAAAGUUAGGCCCUUGCCCACAUCAUGCCUUAGUAAUGAUGUAAAGGUAGCUUUGAAUCAAAUCUGAUUACAGCUCUUCUUUCCUGCAGGACUUCUCAGCCUUGAAUGUUCAAAUGUAUACUUUGACUCUCAAAGAGGAGUGAAGGUGUAACAUUUUCCCAAUUUAUUUGACCACAGAAUCCUGACUUUGAGGAACACUUAGUACCUUCUUAAUGAACACAGUGUUCCAUAAAACAUGGGAACCCACCAGAAAUAGCCCUCAGGCCUGCCCAACUCUGAGACCUUUCACUGAUGGCCAGAGAAAGUGAGGACCUUGGGAAACAAAUCACACAGUCUGAUAUCUCCCCACAUACCCAGUGGAGCCCCUGACUUACCAGAAAUGGCAUCAGGCUCAGGUUUGCUCCCUGGCAGAUCCUCCACAGAUGUGCUGCUGCCCUCAGCACCAACACCGCAUCCCCGAGGCCCCAUGGCACUGGAGCGCCGCCGCUCGUGGAUCUCAUCUGAGAUCAUCUCCAGGUUCUUCAGGGCCAUCUUGUACUCGCCUUUUGCCAGGGUCAGUUUGGCCUGCAGGUCAUCCACAGUCUUUUUCAGUUGCUGAUCAAGAGAACAGGAGACUAAGUGAAGACUACCCUGCUAGCCUUAAGAUGCUUUCUGAAUGACAGGUUCAAGUACAUUUUCUGCCCAUCAUUCUACUUCAAGGAAUUUUCCAAGACAUGACUGAAGACCUAAUUACCAUUGUAACUGCUAUUCAUUCACCAGACAAAAUCAGCCACCACCAUCCCCAGAUCCCAUCCAGGUGACAACCUCUAAUAUCCAAAAACUCUCACUGGUGGAACAAACCCCAUCAGGGAAGCAAAAAUGGGCAUCAGACACACCAAAGUCCCACAGUCUAGACAUCUGGUUCCCAGUACAGUGGUUCUCAAAGUUGAGCUUGCAUCAAAAUCCCCUUGGGUGUUAAGACUCAGCUCACUAGACUCCAACCUCAGAGUUUCUAAUUCAGUCGGUCUAGAGUGGGACCUGGUCUAUCAGGUCUCCAGGUGAUGCUGAUGCUGCUGGUCCUAAGAGCAUGCUGUGAGAACCACUGGCCUAGUACAACAGAGAAGGUGACUGAAUGGCAGUUACAGAGGUUCAGAGACCACUGAAGACCCAACCGAGACAAUUUUGAGGUCUGAAAACUCAGUAAAGCCUGUCUCUCCACUUUCCCCUUAUAGCAAGUGGCCCAUGUGAUACUCUGCUACCCCAGAAAAGUGAAGCUUUGAGUGCAGAAAAAUCUCAUCAGUGACGAAGCCCAAAGCUACACAUACCUCGAGCUGCACAUAGUACUUUGCCUUGAGUUCAAAAUAAGGCCUGCAGAAGACAGGAAGGAAAGCCAUCAGAGUAAUAUAAUACAGUGACCACAGUCAACUCCACAAGAUGAACAAGAGGCAUCAGCUACCACUGGCCAGGUCGUCCUUCCAAUAUUUAGUAAACUCUUAACAAGGCCGUGACAUGUCAGUGAUGCUCCUAGCUCUGGAGACUGACAGACACCAGAUGGAACGACUGGGCUCACCCAGGGCUAUAUUAACAGGAGGCCCAUCUCAAGACACGGGGAACCCACACACACAUAUCUUGGGGACUCUGCAACUUAGCUCAUGUUCCUCCUCUGUGGGAAGGCUGUUCAGAGCCUCACAGGUUAUACCCAGCAGUAAGGGUGGCCUGGAUCUGCUCUCCUAAUGAAGUUGGCUCCCCAGGGAUGAAGAGCAGCUGAGGCUGGAGAAGGGGCUGCUUAAACCUCCUCCUCUACUGAAGUCAACUGGGGAAGAGAGAGAAGCACCACUCCUCCCUCACAGCACAGCAAGGCCACCACUAGGAGGGGGUCUCAGGUUGGUCCUCCCAAACCUUGUCCAAAGACUGGAGUUAUUAGUUGGCUGACUCAGCCACAUAAUGGGCCCAAGAAAUGCCAGCGUCCUAGCAGUUCCCUUGGUUCUGGGUCAGCUGAAAGAGCUUGGCUCUUUUUUAGGAACUUUGGUGCCUGAACAUUAAGAGUAGAUCACUGCUUUAUUCUUGAGCUGUUCACCCUCCAUGAAGCUCUCAAGUCCUGCAUCCUGAGGAUCCAGAUGGAUGACAAGGACACAGGACUGCCAUUGAGAAAUGAAGAUGAACUGUGUCACAGAUGCAGUGGAUUACUGACUGCCCUUGUAAUAGUCCAUUUUGCAUCUGUUGGUAAUUCAUUGAGGCACUCUUGGUUUUCUAUGAGUUUGUAUUUUUUGAAUUCAAGAAUUGUAACAUCACUGUUAGAUCCCUCCUUAUUUAAUGAGAGAAAUAAAAUAUUUGACACGAGAAAAUUUUAUAUUUGUAUCCCAAUUAUGCUUUUACCUUCUUAAAAAUAUCUUUUAACAAAGGCUUCAGUGCUUCAGAUAAUUUUUAAAAACAGAAAAACAACAAAAUCAGAGAAGAAAAAUAGGAGAGAACUGAGCUAAGCUGGCACGAGGAGACAUGCUUGCUCACAUGACUUCUCAACCAAGACCAAAGGGCUAAGAGAAUCCUUUCCCUUUGCUUCCAAAACCAGAUAUUUCACAAGGAAACAAAAUGCACUAAAAAUAUCUCAUGCUUGAUACUUGGGGAAACAGCAGUAAAUCUUAAGCUUUAAGGAUUUACUGGUAUAACCUUUAUGAAAACUCAAACCUUCAGGUUCAUCAAAGACAACAUGUUGGGGGUGAUUGUUUUAUUACAAAAAGAUCCAAUUAAAGGUUUACCUUUAAGGAGCUGUCAGAAUGCAUUUUCAACAGACUUGUAGAACCUGUAAUUUGAGGGUCCUGUACAGAAAGAGUCCCCUGUAAGAAGCAGGAUUCUCACCAUCUGCACACAGGCCCUCAUUCUAUCUUGGCCUCUAGGCUGCAAGCAGAAGCACAGGCUUUCUACAAUAAAACACUUGGAAAGCUCCGAGCCCAUGGCAAUACUGGCAGUGAAAACUGA